GACGAACGCUGGCGGCGUGCUUAACACAUGCAAGUCGAACGGAAAGGCCCUGCUUUUGUGGGGUGCUCGAGUGGCGAACGGGUGAGUAACACGUGAGUAACCUGCCCUUGACUUUGGGAUAACUUCAGGAAACUGGGGCUAAUACCGGAUAGGAGCUCCUGCUGCAUGGUGGGGGUUGGAAAGUUUCGGCGGUUGGGGAUGGACUCGCGGCUUAUCAGCUUGUUGGUGGGGUAGUGGCUUACCAAGGCUUUGACGGGUAGCCGGCCUGAGAGGGUGACCGGCCACAGUGGGACUGAGAUACGGACCAGACUCCUACGGGAGGCAGCAGUGGGGAAUAUUGCACAAUGGGCGGAAGCCUGAUGCAGCAACGCCGCGUGCGGGAUGACGGCUUUCGGGUUGUAAACCGCUUUGGCCUGUGACGAAGCGUGAGUGACGGUAAUGGGUAAAGAAGCACCGGCUAACUACGUG
rnacentral:rRNA from 1 species